rnacentral:rRNA from 1 species
UACGGGGGGGGGUAAGCGUUGUUCGGAAUUACUGGGCGUAAAGGGCUCGUAGGCGGCCAACUAAGUCAGACGUGAAAUCCCUCGACGUCUAACUGGGGAACUGCGUCUGAUACUGGAUGGCUUGGAUCGGAGAGGGAUGCGGAAUUCCAGGUGUAGCGGUGAAAUGCGUAGAUAUCUGGAGGAACACCGGUGGCGAAGGCGGCAUCCUGGGCCGGUAUUGACGCUGAGGAGCGAAAGCCAGGGGAGCAAACGGG